rnacentral:rRNA from 1 species
CAAUAGCGUAUAUUAAAGCUGUUGCGGUUAAAAAGCUCGUAGUUGGAUUUCUGUCAAGGACAACUGGUCCGCCCUCCGGGUGAGCACAUAGUUUGGUCUUGGCAUCUUGCUGGAAACUGUUGCUGCGCUUGGUUGUGUGGUGCAGCUUUCAGCACUUUCACUUUGAGGAAAUUGGAGUGUUUCAAGCAGGCACAUGCCUUUGGACACAGUAGCAUGGAAUAAUUAGAUUGGGCUUUUGCUCCAACUUGUUGGUUCCUGGAGCUGAGGUGAGAAUCAAUGGGGAUUGUUGGGGGCAUCCGAAUUUAGCUGUCAGAGGUGAAAUUCUUGGAUCUGCUAAAGACGGACAACUGCGAAAGCGUUUGCCCAGGAUGUUUUCAUUGA